rnacentral:rRNA from 1 species
GUGGGGAAUCUUAGACAAUGGGGGAAACCCUGAUCUAGCCAUGCCGCGUGAGCGAUGAAGGCCUUAGGGUUGUAAAGCUCUUUCAGCUGGGAAGAUAAUGACGGUACCAGCAGAAGAAGCCCCGGCUAACUCCGUGCCAGCAGCCGCGGUAAUACGGAGGGGGCUAGCGUUGUUCGGAAUUACUGGGCGUAAAGCGCACGUAGGCGGAUCAGAAAGUCAGAGGUGAAAUCCCAGGGCUCAACCUUGGAACUGCCUUUGAAACUCCUGGUCUUGAGGUCGAGAGAGGUGAGUGGAAUUCCGAGUGUAGAGGUGAAAUUCGUAGAUAUUCGGAGGAACACCAGUGGCGAAGGCGGCUCACUGGCUCGAUACUGACGCUGAGGUGCGAAAGCGUGGGGAGCAAACAGGAUUAGAUACCCCAGUAGUCC